CCUACGGGAGGCAGCAGUGAGGAAUAUUGGUCAAUGGACGCAAGCCUGAACCAGCCAUGCCGCGUGGAGGAUGACGGCUCUACGAGUUGUAAACUGCUUUUGUAAGGGAGUAAACUACGGUACGUGUACCUGGUUGAAAGUAUCUUAUGAAUAAGGAUCGGCUAACUCCGUGCCAGCAGCCGCGGUAAUACGGAGGAUCCGAGCGUUAUCCGGAUUUAUUGGGUUUAAAGGGAGCGUAGUCGGGUUGGUAAGUCAGUGGUGAAAUGUUGGGGCUCAACCCCGAAACUGCAAUUGAUACUGUAGGUCUAGAGUACAGUUGGGGUAGGCGGAAUGCGUGGUGUAGCGGUGAAAUGCUUAGAUAUCAUGCAGAACACCGAUUGCGAAGGCAGCUUACUAAACUGUAACUGACGUUGAGGCACGAAAGCGUGGGUAGCAAACAGGAUUAGAUACCCGAGUAGUC
rnacentral:rRNA from 1 species